UACGUAUGGUGCAAGCGUUAUCCGGAUUUACUGGGUGUAAAGGGAGCGUAGGCGGCGCGUUAAGUCUGAUGUGAAAACCCGAGGCUCAACCACGGGAGUGCAUUGGAAACUGGCGGGCUGGAGUGCCGGAGAGGUAAGCGGAAUUCCUAGUGUAGCGGUGAAAUGCGUAGAUAUCACGCAGAACUCCGAUUGCGAAGGCAGCGUACCGGCAUCCAACUGACGCUGAGGCACGAAAGCGUGGGGAUCAAACAGG
rnacentral:rRNA from 1 species